rnacentral:rRNA from 1 species
CGCGUAGGCGGCUGGAUAAGUCAGAUGUGAAAGUCCACGGCUCAACUGUGGAAGUGCAUUUGAAACUGUCUGGCUUGAGUAUCGGAGGGGAGUGUGGAAUUCCCGGUGUAGAGGUGAAAUUCGUAGAGAUCGGGAGGAACACCGGUGGCGAAGGCGACACUCUGGACGAAUACUGACGCUGAGGCGCGAAAGCGUGGGAGCAAACA